rnacentral:rRNA from 1 species
AGUUUGAUCAUGGCUCAGAUUGAACGCUGGCUUGGCACAGCCUAACACAUGCAAGUCGAGCGGCAGCACAAGUAAGUUUACUUAUGAGGUGGCGAGCGACGGACGGGUGAGUAAUGCCUAGGGAUCUGCCCAGUCGAGGGGGAUAACAGUUGGAAACGACUGCUAAUACCGCAUACGCCCUACGGGGGAAAGGAGGGGACCUUCGGGCCUUCCGCGAUUGGAUGAACCUAGGUGGGAUUAGCUAGUUG